rnacentral:rRNA from 1 species
UACGUAGGGUGCGAGCGUUAAUCGGAAUUACUGGGCGUAAAGCGUGCGCAGGCGGUUUUGUAAGGCAGGGGUGAAAUCCCCGGGCUUAACCUGGGAAUGGCAUUUGGGACUGCAAGGCUUGAGUGCGGCAGAGGAGACUGGAAUUCCUGGUGUAGCAGUGAAAUGCGUAGAUAUCAGGAGGAACACCGAUGGCGAAGGCAGGUCUCUGGGCUGACACUGACGCUCAUGCACGAAAGCGUGGGGAGCAAACAGG